UCCAGGGUAGCCUAGUGGACAUGGCAUCUGCCCGGUAAGCGUAACACUGUGGGUUCGAUUCUCAUCUUUGGAC
rnacentral:tRNA from 1 species